rnacentral:rRNA from 1 species
AGCGAACGCUGGCGGCAGGCCUAACACAUGCAAGUCGAACGAAGUCUUCGGACUUAGUGGCGGACGGGUGAGUAACACGUGGGAACGUGCCUUUAGGUUCGGAAUAACUCAGGGAAACUUGUGCUAAUACCGAAUGUGCCCUUCGGGGGAAAGAUUUAUCGCCUUUAGAGCGGCCCGCGUCUGAUUAGCUAGUUGGUGAGGUAAAGGCUCACCAAGGCUACGAUCAGUAGCUGGUCUGAGAGAUGACCAGCCACAUUGGGACUGAGACAUGGCCCAAACUCCUACGGGAGGCAGCAGUGGGGAAUCUUGCGCAAUGGGCGAAAGCCUGACGCAGCCAUGCCGCGUGGAUGAUGAAGGUCUUAGGAUUGUAAAAUCCUUUCACCGGUGAAGAUAAUGACUGUAGCCGGAGAAGAAGCCCCGGCUAACUUCGUGCCAGCCGCCGCGGUAAAAC